UACAGAGGGGCAAGCGUUGUUCGGAAUUACUGGGCGUAAAGGGCGCGUAGGCGGCCUUCUAAGUCGAACGUGAAAUCCCUGGGCUCAACCCAGGAACUGCGUCCGAUACUGGAAGGCUUGAAUCCGGGAGAGGGAUGCGGAAUUCCAGGUGGUAGCGGUGAAAUGCGUAGAUAUCGAGAGGAACACCUGCGGCGAAGGCGGGUUGCCUGGGCUGACACUGACGCUGAGGCACGAAAGCGUGGGGAGCAAACAGG
rnacentral:rRNA from 1 species